UACGUAGGGUGCGAGCGUUGUCCGGAAUUACUGGGCGUAAAGAGCUCGUAGGCGGUUUGUCGCGUUGUCCGUGAAAACUCACAGCUCAACUGUGGGCGUGCGGGCGAUACGGGCAGACUGGAGUACUGCAGGGGAGACUGGAAUUCCUGGUGUAGCGGUGGAAUGCGCAGAUAUCAGGAGGAACACCAAUGGCGAAGGCAGGUCUCUGGGCCGAAACUGACGCUGAGGAGCGAAAGCGUGGGGAGCGAACAGG
rnacentral:rRNA from 1 species